rnacentral:misc_RNA from 1 species
GAAAAAGUGUAUUUAUAGAUAGAUGCAACUUAGAUAGAGAACAGCGAGCCGAUUUUGUGAAGCUUGUCGGUCCACAAGUUGAGAAACACGCUGUGGCACUUGAUCUUCCAGCUAAGCUUUGUAUUUCUCGGUCGGUUAAGAGGACAGAGCAUGAGGGAAAUUUGCAAGGUGGGAAAGCUGCUGCAGUUGUGAAUAGGAUGCUGCAAAAGAAAGAGUUGCCUAAGCUGAAUGAAGGGUAUGAUAGAAUUACAG